UACGUAGGGUGCGAGCGUUAAUCGGAAUUACUGGGCGUAAAGGGUGCGCAGGCGGUUCUGCAAGUCAGGCGUGAAAGCCCCGGGCUCAACCUGGGAAUUGCAUUCGAGACUGCAUUGCUGGAGUACGGAAGAGGAGGGCGGAAUUCCCGGUGUAGCGGUGAAAUGCGUAGAUAUCGGGAGGAACAUCAGUGGCGAAGGCGGCCCUCUGGUCCAGUACUGACACUCAAGUGCGAAAGCGUGGGGAGCAAACAGG
rnacentral:rRNA from 1 species